AUGUCCAACAGAUUCCGAGGCUUGGCAGACCUUCCGGAUGGCCUGCUAGACUCUAUCAUUGCCCUACUGGGCUCCUUCCAUGAUCUUCUUGCGUUUGAAGCCACUUGCCGUUCUUGGCGUGCCGUGUUUUCUUCAUGUUCACGCAAAUAUACCUUGGCAGCAUCCUUCUUACCUCUCCUCCAACCCGAUUUCUCUUUGCUCUCUCCACUUCCAGGCCCCUUAAGAAAAUUCAUGGUGCCCACAUGCCCAUGUCAUGUCACUGAUAUAGCCAAUCAAGACACCAGCUACCAGUCCUUUGAGAUUCCAAUAUUAUGGUGUUCUCGUGGAAAUAAUGCCUCACCAAGUCCUAUAGAAAGGUUCCGCUUUAGUGGGGCUUCCUAUGGCCAUCUAAUUUUUUCUAGCAAUAAAUCAUGUGUCGUUUUUUAUGUGUUCACAUGCUUUAGUGUGUCAUCUCUACAACUAUCGGUAUUGGAAAGCACUGGCCUCAUCUAUGGUACGGUCACCGCUCCUCUCUCAUCACCUAACUCACAUCUUAUUAUCGAAGCCGGAUCACAAAAUCUGUUUUGGCGUGUUGGAAGCCAAUCUUGGGUGGGACAUUCUCUUCAUCAUGGACCAAUCAAGCAAAUCGUGAUCUUCCAAGGGAAAGUGUUUGGCAUGGAAUAUGAUCGCAGGAUCUUCAAAGUGGACUUGACACCCUAG
rnacentral:rRNA from 1 species